UACGUAGGGUGCAAGCGUUAAUCGGAAUUACUGGGCGUAAAGCGUGCGCAGGCGGUGAUGUAAGACAGGUGUGAAAUCCCCGGGCUUAACCUGGGAAGGGGCGCCGAUACGACCGUCCUGGAGGAACGUAGGGGGAGCUGGAACUUCCGGUGGAGCGGUGAAAUGCGUUGAGAUCGGAAGGAACGCCCGUGGCGAAAGCGAGCUCCUGGACGUUUUCUGACGCUGAGACGCGAAAGCCAGGGGAGCGAACGGG
rnacentral:rRNA from 1 species